GUUUGAUUCUGGCUCAGAUUGAACGCUGGCGGGAUGCUUUACACAUACCAAGUCGAACGGCAGCACGGACUUCGGUCUGGUGGCGAGUGAUGGUGGUAAUGUAUCGGAACGUGCCUAGUAGCGGGGAUAGCUACGCUGGCAUGUAUUUCGCCACGCCCUUCGGGGAAAGCGGGGGGACCUUCGGGCCUCACCACUAUUAGAGCAGCCGAUAUCCCGGAUUAGCUAGUUGGUGGGGUAACGGCUCACCAAGGCGACGAUCCGUAGCUGGUUUUGAGAGGUUGACCAGCCACACUGGGACGAGACACGGCCCAGAUACGGGAGGCAGCGGUGGGGUACCCGGACAAUGGGGAAACCCUGAUCCAACCAUCCCGCGUGCGAUGAAGGCCUUCGGGUUGUAAAGCACUUUACCUGGCGGGAAAGAAACGCGCGGGAUAAUGCCCCGUGCAACUGACAGUACCUGCAGAAUAGCACAGUAACUGCGUGCCCGGCAGCCGCGGUAAUACGUAGGGUGCAAGCGUUAAUCGGAAUUACUGAGCGUAAAGCGUGCGCAGGCGGUUCGGAAAAGAAGAUGUGAAAUCUGACUUAACUUUGGAACUGCAUUUUUAACUACCGAGCUAGAGUGUGUCAGGAGGAGGUGGAAUUCCGCGUGUAGCAGUGAAAUGCGUAGAUAUGCGGAGGAACACCGAUAGCGAAAACAACUCCUGGGAUACUGACGCUCGUACACAACGUGGGGGCAAACGGGAUUGAUCCUGGUGGUCACGCCUAAACGAUGUCAACUAGCUGUUAGGAGCCUUCGGGCCUUGGUAUUCAGCCCCAACGCGUGAAGUUGACCGCCUGGGGAGUACCGGUCGCAAGAUUAAAACUCAAAGGAAUUAGGCGGGGACCCGCAAGCCGGUGGAUGAUGUGGAUUAAUUCGAUGCAACAUGAAAAACCUUACCUACCCUUUCCCGACAUCGCAGGUCCCGAAGUUUUGGGAGUGCUCGCAGAGAACCGGAACACAGGUGCUGCAUGGCUGUCGUCGCUCGUGUCGUGAGAUGUUGGGUUAAAGUCCCGCAACAGGCGCAACCCUUGUCAUUAGUUGCUACGAAAGGGCACUCUAAUGAGACUGCCGGUGACAAACCGGAGGAAGGUAAGGAUGACGUCAAGUCCUCAUGGCCCUUAUGGGUAGACCACACGUCAUGCAAUGGUCGAGGACAGAGGGUCGCCAGCCCGCGAGGCCAAUCCCGAAACCCCGAUCGUAGUCCGGAUCGCAGUCUGCAACUCGACUGCGUGAAGUCGGAAUCGCUAGCUGGCGUCGCGGUUCAGCAUGUCGCGGUGAAUACGUUCCCGGUCUUAUAUACACCGCCCGUCACCAUGUGGUGGGUUUUGCAAGUAGUUAAGCCUAACCAUGGGCGAUUACCGUGGGAUUCGGCUGGGGUAGAGAAUCGCUCAAGGUAA
rnacentral:rRNA from 1 species